rnacentral:lncRNA from 1 species
CGAUGGUCACUAUGGGAUAGAGCUAGAAGUGUACAUAUUCGACGGGGAUGCAAGUGGACAACAUUAACCCAUUAGUUCCUACCGUUACUAUUAUGUAACAGCAAAGUGGUGCCAUCUAAAUAGAUCCUCUAUCUCAUACGUCGCAAAUUUGCAGUUGAAAACAGUCAGUUCUUAUCAGAAGGUGAUAGUGUUUACAUUGUUUAAAUGUGCGAUUUUAUUAGAACUUUGUUUCGAAUCUGUGCAUUGAUAAAAUAUAGCAAAACAAAUGAGGCUUCAAAUAAUGGACUUCGUUGAUAAAAAAGGCCUUGCUGCAGUUCUUCAAAGAGACUGUUCAAAAAUCUAUUGAUAUAGCCUUUGGAGAAUACAAGAUAGAUGACUCUAUAGAGGCAGUUUAUAUAGCGCCACCGAGGAUGAGGGCGAAGAUUUGGACAAUUUCAACAAACGUCAGCUACUUGCCGAUGCAGAAGUUAGAACUGAGAUAGAAUUAUACAGGAUAUGAAUUAGAAACAGGAAAUGGUACUGGGCAUUGUUUACAUGGCUUCUUGCCGUUUCCGUCAAUAACGCGUGGUGUUUGUAUCGAAAAUCAAAUAACUUUCAGAUGUCCCAAAUAGACUUUCGAAGGGCUAUCGUGUAAGUUCAUUUGAAGAAAUAUUCGUCACCUCCCAAAGGCACUGGCAGGACUCCAUCUCCAACUUCUAAUGCGCAAAGAGUAGCCGAUGAAAUUAGAUAAAUGAUAGGAUACCUAGUGGAUAAAAUUCCAAACAACAAAAGAAGGCGUUGUGUUACCUAUCACAUAAACCAAAAUGUUUAAAUUCCUUUUUCUUUAUUUUCAGUUUUUAAAUAAAUAGAACUGUUCACAGCUA